GCCUUCGUGGUGUAAUGGCCAGCACACUCAACGCUUAAUCCGAAAGGUCCGUGGUUCGAUUCCCGGCGAAGGCG
rnacentral:tRNA from 1 species